GAGAUGGGGUUUUGCCCUGUUGCUCACCGUGGUCUCAAACUCCUGAGCUCAAGAGAUUCGCCUGCCUCAGCCUUCCAAAUUGCUGGGUUUACAGGUGCCAGUAUUUUUUUCUUGGGACAGUGGAGGACAACUAACUUUGAAAAUGUGAUGGGGAUUGACAAAAGGGGGCAUAAAUAAAAGAUUAUCUCUCAAGAAA